CCAAAACUUUUCUGCUCCUCUGAUGCUGCCUGGUCUGCUGUGAUCCUCCAGCUUCACAGUGUUAUCUCUGACUCCAGUAUCUGCAGUUCUUGCUAUCUCUGGGAUACGUUGAUGCUCCAAAACGGCUUUUCUUCCCGCUGCCGAGGCACCAAGGGAAGACCUCGUCGUUUGUAUUUGAAGACGCACCCCAGGGCAAAGAGAUUCUACACUGAUUUAUCAAACAGGUUGACGGCAGCUGAGAAAUCAAGUAAAAUAGAUGAGUAACAUGACAUGUCAUCUACUAAUGGAUAAAGAAUGGAAGUGCAGUAGGGUGAUGCACCGACAAGAAUGGAAGAAAAACCAAGUCAGCCUGGCAGCAGCUACAGGGAAUCUCCGGAUUGUGAACGGGUUCUUUUCUGCAGCACAUUCGCAAGUCAAUCUGUAUGCAAGUCGGAACACAAUGUAGGACAAUAUAAAGGAGCCAUUU